CUUCUAUAGGUUCUGCGAGAAAAGUCUAAAUUUUCUGGAUCCAAACAAUAUAUUAAAACUUCACCACUAGUGAUCAAGGCUGUGAAUGACUUAAAACAUUGUGGGAAUUACCUUCUAUCCUGAUAAAAUCAUAUGAAAAUAUCAGUCACCAGUUGGAUGGAACCCUACUGUUCUUCAGUACCCAGGACUCAGCAGGCAGAAGUGAAGAAGCUUUUUUAUUUUUCUCUGCCGAGACUGGGUCAGUCAGAGAAGCAGACAAAGUGUUGAAGAGCUCUCCACCUUCACCCUAGAGCAGAGAGAGAUAAUUCUUUGCUCUUGGCUGUUGUAUUUUAUGUAAUUAGGAUAUAUUUUUUCAAUCAUUCCGGAUGCAUUCAAGUUGUAAGUGGCUCAGGACGCACACAGUGAAUUAUUAUACUGUUGGCCUAUACUGGAAGCUUUAUGAGCUGUUCUGCAUCCUGAUUUGUUAGAGGAAGAUGAAACCCCAUAAAAGUGAAGCUGAAAGCUACAGAAAACAUUACUGCUUUGUUUUUCCUAUUUAUGAAGCACUGAACUGUAGAGUACUCUAAUGAUAGCUUGUAUUAAUUUUAACAAACUUGAAAAUCUUGCUGACUAGUCUAACAUUUAGGUGCUUUUUCAUUCUCUUUCUCAUCAACCUUUAGCUUUUUGCUGGAGGCACCACAUUUGUUAUGUUAGUGUAAGUAGAUAAUUACAAACAGUGGUAAAAUGAAACUCCACCACUGGUAAAGCUGAGAGGUUUUUAAAAGUUUCAUCCCACCCAGCUACAAAAAAUUUAAUUUAAAUUAAAAUAUAUGGCUUGUGAUUGUGAACAUAUCAGUUUUAUUACCAUAAAACUUUUUUUUUUUUUUUUUGGUGCUGCUUUUUAAAUAGCUUCAAUUCUGUUAAAAAAUAUGGAAAACAUUCCACUUCCUAAAACUAGCAUUGGUUUUUGGUUCUUGUUUUCUACUUACACAUGAACACUUACACAUGAAUUUGGCUUCAGAAACUACCUAUGGGAUUUGGUGGGGGGAGGAAAAGUAAUCCCUCUUCCUACAGAUCUGUUUUUAACUAAAGGUUAAAGUGUGUAGCAGUUGAAACUCAGGUGAUCCUGAGUUGUCUGUCGCAGGUGAUCUUUAGCCUUUUGUAAGCAGGGAGUUAUUUUGCAAAGACACGGGGGAUGUAUUGUAUGGGGGGUAGGUUAUAAUGCUUGAUCUUGUACUGAAGGCUUGAAGAAAAGAAUACUAAAGAGGGAAUAAUAAGUGGUAAGAGAAUAGCAUGGGCACAGCAAGGGCCUCCUCUUCAGAUAAGUUUAGGAUGUGAAAAAAACAACUGUUGGUUCAUUCAAAACCUUAACCUGCAGCUGCAUCUACUGAUGCUGCUUCAAACUUUAUUUAUGUCUAGGCAGAAUAUAUUUUAUAUAUGUCCUGUAAACAUUACAGCUCUUAAUGCUUUCUUUGGCCUUUGUUCUGUAUUGCAUUAUCCUGUGUGAAAUCCAUCCUGGGAGCAGACAUUGGGCACAACAUUACAUGAGAUUCAAUGAAGUUGUUACAGUAAAAUUUAAUGGGAUGUGGACUAUGUGCUGGACUUUUUCCAAGGAUGAAUUUUACCCUUUCUUUGCAUGAAUUUCUGAUUUCUUCCUUUGUGAAAGUUCCCCUAUUUCUGUUAAG